rnacentral:rRNA from 1 species
UACAGAGACUGCAAGCGUUGUUCGGAUUCAUUGGGCGUAAAGGGUCCGUAGGCGGUCGGUUAAGUCGGAUGUGAAAUCUCACAGCCUAACUGUGAGCGGUCAUUCGAAACUAAUCGGCUAGAGGGCUGGAGAGGAGACUGGAAUUGUCGGUGUAGCGGUGAAAUGCGUAGAGAUCGGGAGGAAUACCGAUGGCGAAGGCAGGUCUCUGGGCUAUAACUGACGCUCAUGCACGAAAGCGUGGGGAGCAAACAGG